AAGAUCUAGUCAGUUCAAUUUAUCCUAUAGUUCUUUUACUGAGAUAGAGGAUCCUAUGUGUUCUGGCACUGCGCUGGGCACUGUGGGGGGAAAAGUAACAGAAGAUGCAGUGUCUGCCCUCAAGGAGAUUGGUCUCCUAAAAAAGGCUUUAACAUUAAAAAAAUAGUUUAUUAAUGCCUUUCCCCCUUCAUUCUUCCAUUAAUAAACCUUCCUUUGUAGGGAAGAGAAAUAGUUAAACAAAAAGCCAACCUAGUAAACUCACUUAACAGUUUGGAGUCGAUCCUCCAAUCCUAUUUCCUUCCUUCUCUAACAAGAAAAAGGAAGUAUGUUACAACAUCUGUUUUUCAGGGCUGAUAUACAUUAUGAUUAAUUUAGAGUUCAUUUACCUUAAAUCUGGGACUAUAGGGGGCAGCUGGGGAGCUCAGUGAAUGGAGAGCCAGACCUAGAGACAGGAGGUCCUGGAUUCAAAUCUUGCCUGUGACACUUUCUGGCUGUGUGAACCUAGAGGCAGGAGGGGCCCACAAUUGCCAGGAAAUGGACCUCACAUUUUAUUCUAUGGUUAUGUAAAAUCAUGCCCCUUACAAGAGAUGUUUGGAUCUUCCAGGAGGUAAUACCGAAAACAAGAGGGAAGACAUUAAGGAAGAGAGAAAGAGAAGAAAAGAGAGAGAGAGAUGCUCUGGCCUCCUCUGAGCCAGGCAGGAGUUCAGAGACCCAAGACAAGGGAAAAAAAGUGACAAGAUGAUGGGCCUCUCCAGAGGCUGGUGCCUUCAGAAAAGACAAGGGAAAGGGGAUCAGCCUUUACAUUCACCAUGCAUCAGUUCAAAGGAACAGGUCACCAGGAAAAACAGGUCCAGUCAGCACUCUUCUGAAUGAAGAAUUAUUCUCCACUCCAGUAAAACUCCAGCAGAAGUGGAAGUCCAAGUUGAACUGCCAGAAGACCUGACUUCAGGCCCUUGUCACUCUCUUUUAAGGGCCUUUUUUUCUUGCAUCACUUCCCUUAAUCUUUACAUCUACCAAUCACAGCUGAUGCUCCGCUUUAGGAUCGCCCAGAAGGCAGUCAGUCGAUUCUGAUUUGUCACCCGCUCUUUCACACAUGGGUCACAGACCUCCCACUCAAUAUAUGAAAUGGGUGUUCAAACCUUUUUGUGUUUAAAUUCCAAAAUGGGUAGAUCUUCAUACUCAACUUUAAGUACAGUGCUUUAUACUUUGGGGAUUAAAGUCUAAAAAUAGACAGGGGAUUACAAUUUAAUCUUCACAAUCAAGGAAGAGCUAAGUACCUUCAUUGUUACAAUCAGGGGAGAGCCAAAUCCAAUCUUCACACUUCACUUGGUCCUGUUAUCCCCUCAAGCUAUGGUCCUACUUUUUUCCUUCCUGUCAUCGCUAGAUUCUGGGGGUGGUGUUGAAUAUCUAUACCCAUCACUCUACUUCCUCACAUCCCACUUACUUCUGAACCCUUUGCAAACUAGCUUCCAAACUCCACCAUUCAAUUAAAAUUGGUAUCUACAUGGUUAACAACUGUGUAAUUAGAAUCUGCUCCCCGGGAUUCUCUCUCCC
ensembl:lncRNA